rnacentral:rRNA from 1 species
GGGUAGUUUGACUGGGGCGGUCUCCUCCUAAAGAGUAACGGAGGAGCACGAAGGUUGGCUAAUCCUGGUCGGACAUCAGGAGGUUAGUGCAAUGGCAUAAGCCAGCUUGACUGCGAGCGUGACGGCGCGAGCAGGUGCGAAAGCAGGUCAUAGUGAUCCGGUGGUUCUGAAUGGAAGGGCCAUCGCUCAACGGAUAAAAGGUACUCCGGGGAUAACAGGCUGAUACCGCCCAAGAGUUCAUAUCGACGGCGGUGUUUGGCACCUCGAUGUCGGCUCAUCACAUCCUGGGGCUGAAGUAGGUCCCAAGGGUAUGGCUGUUCGCCAUUUAAAGUGGUACGCGAGCUGGGUUUAGAACGUCGUGAGACAGUUCGGUCCCUAUCUGCCGUGGGCGCUGGAGAACUGAGGGGGGCUGCUCCUAGUACGAGAGGACCGGAGUGGACGCAUCACUGGUGUUCGGGUUGUCAUGCCAAUGGCACUGCCCGGUAGCUAAAUGCGGAAGAGAUAAGUGCUGAAAGCAUCUAAGCACGAAACUUGCCCCGAGAUGAGUUCUCCCUGACUCCUUGAGAGUCCUGAAGGAACGUUGAAGACGACGACGUUGAUAGGCCG